GGCCGGUUAGCUCAGUUGGUUAGAGCGUGGUGCUAAUAGAGGAUAUUCCUCAGUAUACGCCAAGGUCAAGGGUUCGACCCCCUUACGGGUCA